ensembl:lncRNA
CACAUUCUUAUAUAAACCAUUAUAUCUUUAUAAAGUUUCCUUUUAAACAUCUAUGUCUUGAACUUCCUUAGUAACCUCUAUUCAAAUAAGAUUCUUCUGGGGCCGGCCCUGUGGUGCAGUGGUUAAGUUCACACAUUCCACUUCAGCGGCCCAGGGUUCACCGGUUCGGAUCCCGGGCACAGACCUAUGCAUGGCUUAUCAAGCCAUGCUGUGGUAGGUGUCCCACAUAUAAAGUAGAGGACGACGGGCACAGAUGUUAGCUCAGGGCCAGUCUUCCUCAGCAAAAAGAGGAGGAUUGGCAGGAGAUGUUAGCUCAGGGCUAAUCUUCCUAAAAAAAAAAUCAGAUAAGAUUCUUCUAUAAAGGUUUCCUCUGUUAUGCCAUUUUUUUAAAUCUAGAAAGAAAUUAGUUGUCCUUUGUUUCUAGUAUUUGAAUUUUUUUGCAGUGUGCUCAUGAUGCAAAUUCAAGCUGUUUGUAGCUGAUGCAUUGGAAUAAAUAAAAUGGGAUUUUCAGCUAAGAUGUUUCAAGUCUUUACCUGGGACAAAGUGACAUGCAUCUGGAGAACAGUAAACAUAGUCUUCAGUGUAAGAAAAAGCAAACCAGAGUUCAUAUCACCCUUAGGCACAAAAGGGAAGUUCUUUCUUUUACUUUUUACUUAUCACAAUAACAGGAAAAGGCAAAAGAUGUGUGAAGCUGAGCAGAAAUUGAACAUGAUUAAGUGCCAUUAGACAAGUCAGCUUUCUAUCUAAAAGCCAUUGCUGCUAAUUUACCAACUCAUAUCCAUGUUUGAACGUAAGACAGAAAUACUGAGCAUGGGUGUUUGGAAGAUGAGAUGUUACAGAGGAGUCUACAUAUCACACAUACCAAUCAACCUGGGAGUGAAUAAACUCCACUAUACCCCCAUGAAUUGAGAUAUACAGAAACUUCCAUCAAAGUGGUUUGAAAUUUUGGGCUUUGCCAACGUUGUUUAACAAAACCAUAAUACAUAAAAGAAAUGACAAUUUUAUGCAUAUACUUUUAAUAAAGAACAUAGGAAGAUAAUGCUGGUCAGUGUUUGUGGAUAUUUCUGUAGCAAUACAUAUGUUUUUAAGAAUACUAUAUACAAUCAGUUUGAGCAGACUGGUGGAAAGGAUUUGCAGCAAAUGGCAACUUGAGCUUAACUGCUGAGGUCCCCAGUGCCUUUCUUUUUAUGGCUCUCCAAUACAUUUCCUAUAUUACCAAGACCCAGUACCAGAUUUCCUGCUGUGUCCCUUUGCUGAUUUAGCUAGCAGAGUGACAGCAGUUAUUCCUUGAAUGCAUCUUAUCUUAUUGGGUUUUUUUCUUUUAGUGUUUUCCCUACUAAAAAUCCAUUUCCUGAUAUAUUGAAUUCAUUGUCUGUUUUAACUCAUUUUGCUGAUGGCCAUAUACCAGUCUGCUAUGAAGAACACAUUUAAUAGUUUUGACCAUUAUGUGGGACACAGCCCUAGCCCUUUUGGGGAAGUAAAUAGUCAUGGGUUGCAUGCUAGUAGAAGCCACCCAUUCAUUAUUAUAUUGCAUAACACCUGCAUGCAAAAGGCUAC